rnacentral:rRNA from 1 species
GACAGAGGUUGCAAACGUUGUUCGGAAUCACUGGGCAUAAAGCGCACGUAGGCGGUCUACUAAGUCAGUUGUGAAAGCCCCCGGCUCAACCGGGGAACAGCAUCUGAUACUGGCAGACUCGAGGAUGGUAGGGGUGAGUGGAACUCCAGGUGGAGCGGUGAAAUGCGUAGAUAUCUGGAGGAACACCGGUGGCGAAAGCGGCUCACUGGACCAUAACUGACGCUGAGGUGCGAAAGCUAGGGUAGCAAACGGGAUUAGAUACCCCCGUAGUCC